rnacentral:lncRNA from 1 species
CUGGGUAUUGAAUUUGAUACUGAAAUGAAUGGAGAUAUGAAUGAUUUGAAUGCUAAUCACAUAGGGGUAGAUGUUGGUAGCUUUGUAUCUCUAGCUGUUGGUAAUGUUUCUGAAUUGAAUUUGGUGCUUAAUAGUGGAGAAAAGUUGAAAUGUUGGAUCGAUUACGAUGCUAGUUCGAAACGAUUGGAGAUUAGGCUAGGCAAAAUGGACGAUUCGAGGCCUUAUACUCCGAUUACGGCAUAUGGGAUAGAUAUGUCGGGAAUGUGGAGAGGUGAGGAUGUGUAUGUAGGUAUUAGCUCCUCGAAUUCGAAUGGAAAUUCGUCACAGAUUAGCAGUGUGUAUUCAUGGAAUUUUAGGCUUAGAAAUGUUCCCAAGUCAAUGCAUUCUCUGCCGGUGAAUCCGAGGGGGUAUGUGGAUGGACAUGGUGAGAGUUUGAGCGUGCAGAAGCGGGGGAUUUGCCCAUUGACAGUUCUUGCCAGGAUGAUCUUCGUGACUGGGUGUGGGGCAUUGGUGGCAUUUGUGAUGCUGUUUUUGUGGGCUAUUAUCAUCAGUAGGCACACGGAGUUCCCUGCUGAGUUUUCUCCAAAGCCUGUGGAGUUUAGGUACGAGAAGAUCGAUGUAGUUGUAGAGAAAGAUGCCGAUGGUAUUAAGUAGUAGUGCGUAAUGUCUUCAAGGGCGUGGCCUUUUUUUUCCUGUGAAUGUAUGUUGCCAGUGUUGUUUGUAAUCUCUAACACGAAAAUGUGAUGAAUUCUGUUGUUUUGGUGUACCCGGCUGUGUUUCCUGCAACGGCUGUGGAUCUCAGGUAUGUGAAGAUCAAAGUAGUUGUAGAGAAAGAUGCCGAUUGUCAUUUCUAACCCGAACUAAUGUGAUGAAUGCUAUAGUUCUGGUGUGAAUUCUGAUGGCAAAUUCUAAUGCAAUUAGGUCUGAUGAUCACAUAUGUCGUGUGUAUAUGUGGAUCUGUUUUGUUCAUUCAUCAUGUAGCUCCAUUUUGUGCAAUUUAGCAAGUGUGAAAAGUUUGCUAUGUUAAAGUGUAUUACACCUCUUAUGUCUAUUUAUUCAUUAUAUUUAUGAGUUUUUUAGAUAA